rnacentral:tRNA from 1 species
GGGCCAAUCGUAUAGUGGCUUAUUAUGCUGUCUUAGGGCAUUCACCUCGUUUCAGGGAGGCGGUUCUAAGUUGACAGAGGUCCCCGGUUCGAUUCCGGGUUGGCCCC